GACGCCUCGGCUAACUCCGUGCCAGCAGNCCGCGGUAAUAACGGAGGAGGCAAGCGUUAUCCGGAAUUAUUGGGCGUAAAGCGUCCGUAGGUGGUUAUUCAAGUCUGCUGUCAAAGCGUGGGGCUUAACUCCAUAGAGGCAGUGGAAACUGAGUGACUAGAGUGCGGUAGGGGUCGAGGGAAUUCCCAGUGUAGCGGUGAAAUGCGUAGAUAUUGGGAAGAACACCAGUGGCGAAAGCGCUCGACUGGGCCUGCACUGACACUGAGGGACGAAAGCUAGGGGAGCGAAAGGGAUUAGAUACCCCUGUAGUCCCUAGCGGUAAACGAAUGGAUACUAGGUGUUGCUCGUCAUCGACCCGAGCCAGUGCCGUAUCCUACGCGUUAAGUAUCCCGCCUUGGUAGUACGCUCGCAAGAGUUAUACUCAUAGGAAUUGACGGGGGCCCGCACAAUCGGUGGAGUAUGUGGUUUAAUUCGAUGCAACGCGAAGAACCGUACCAGGGCUUGACAUGUCCGGAACCUUGCCGAGAGGUGAGGGUGCCUUCGGGAGCCGGAACACAGGUGGUGCAUGGCUGUCGUCAGCUCGUGUCGUGAGAUGUUGGGUUAAGUCCCGCAACGAGCGCAACCCACGUUCUUAGUUGCCAGCAUUGAGUUGGGCACUCUAGGGAGACUGCCGGUGACAAACCGGAGGAAGGUGUGGAUGACGUCAAGUCAGCAUGCCCCUUACGUCCUGGGCUACACACGUACUACAAUGCUGUGGACAAAGGGCAGCCAGCCAGCGAUGGUGAGCUAAUCCCAGAAACCACGGCUCAGUUCAGAUUGCAGGCUGUAACUCGCCUGCAUGAAGGAGGAAUCGCUAGUAAUCGCAGGUCAGCAUACUGCGGUGAUACGUUCCCGGGCCUUGUACACACCGCCCGUCACACCAUGGGAGUUGGUUUUGCCCGAAGUCGUUACUCCAACCUUAGGGAGGGGG
rnacentral:rRNA from 1 species